AGGACCACAAAAUGGUGGUGAAAUUUAAAAUUUUCAGCCCGGGGAGCCUUACCAGUCCUCGUUAACCUCUCCACGACUGCACUUUGGUAUGGUUUUAUUAUAGAAAAAAUUAUUCUUGUGCUACUUAGGUCCUAAGCCUCGCAGACUCCACUCGCUCGUAUAUAUCCUAUCUCUUGAUUAAUGUUACCAUAAUUGAACUAAUCUUCCAAGGCAGAAAAAGAGGCAAUUGACUAACAAAAUCAGAGACUAAAUUCCCCAAAACUCCCAAGUUUGGGGAAGAUUUGUGUUGCAGACUAGCCUGGUGCUAGCUGAGUGUGACUUA
rnacentral:lncRNA from 1 species